rnacentral:lncRNA from 1 species
GAUGGGUAGAGGAUAAAAUAUGGAAAUGUUUCUCUUUCUAAAUGUGAUUAUAAAAUAGGAAAUUGUUAUGUCUUUUGCAGGCAUAUCUAGAGCUCUUCAAAUAAGCAAUGUGAUGUUAGAAAAAGUGCAGAAGCUCCUUCAGCACUUUCCAGGGCUAACCAGCUGCUGAGGAGGGACCUCUAGGAAGGAGAGAAGCACUCUGAUCCAGACAGGGAUUUACACCUAAAGUUCCAACUCCACCAUGUCUUCAGAACAGUUCUUCUGGACCUUGCAUCCAAUUGUGGAGAUGUUAAUUAUCAACAAACAAAAUCUCCGGGUGCCCGAAGGACCUAGGCUACACAGAAACCUGUGAACUGCCCGUGAGAAUGCAAUGAGUCAAAAGAAUAACAGAAUUAAAUAAGUUCAGUCUCUAAGUGUGUCUUAAAACUCUUAUCUAUAAACCCCUAAUCUUAGUAAUUUCCGUCACAGUUGUUAUUCAUAAACAUUUGAUCAUUGUUCGUAGAAGAUCUAACAAAUUAGCACCAUGGAUUGUUUUGGAGAUGAAAGGACAGUACACUAUUCCGUUUAGCUUGUUCAGGGCACUUGAGUUAAAUCCCUUGAGUCCUCACUCCAUCAGAUAGUCCAUGAAAUGCUGAUGACGAUAUAAUAAUUAUCCAUACAGUUAGAGUGUUCACUAAUUAAGAAUGC